AUGGGGAUAGCUAUUAGAAAUAGUAGAUAAUACCGAAUACGAGCACAGGGGUUAGAGAUCUGUAGAGGAAAGGAGCUUAAGGGCUCCGCUAGAAGGUAAUGGCCCUGCGGCCCAUUAGCUAGUUGGUGAGGUAAGAGCCCACCAAGGCAAUGAUGGGUAUCCGGCCUUAGAGGGUGAACGGACACAUUGGGACUGAGAUACGGCCCAGACUCCUACGGGAGGCAGCAGCUAAGAAUAUUCCGCAAUGGACGAAAGUCUGACGGAGCGACGCCGCCGUGGAUGAAGAAGGCCGGAAGGUUGUAAAAUCCUUUUGAAACUGAAGAAUAAGCGUUGUAGGGAAUGACAGCGUGGUGACAGUAGGUUUUGAAUAAGCAACGGCUAAUUACGUGCCAGCCGCCGC
rnacentral:rRNA from 1 species